rnacentral:lncRNA from 1 species
CCAUCAGUGCCAGACGCAAAGAGUUGAUACUGCUCUAGGAUACGAUACUGCUCUCAGAGCCAUUCAACAUUGGGUUUAGAUAGUGAAGAAACCUCCACUUUCGGACCCGAUGGAGAGUCAUCGGCCAGAUUCUCCAAUUGACUAUUCCGAGAAGAAGAAGUCCUAGCCAUGAAAAAAAAAUUAGAGAGAACCAAAAAAGAGAUGGACCCA